UACAGGACUGCAUUAGGACAUCAGCUGGUUUUAUUAAGUCUGUCAAUAGGAACAGAUUUUGUGGUACAAAACACACCCUGUAGUUCUCUAGUAAAAAAGCCUACAUAGGAUUACUAUGGUUGGCUUCAAAUAUACAGGCAGGUAAGCACAGAACCCCGCCCUUCUAAAGUUAAAAGUAGAUAAGCAAUCUGGACAAAGGGUUUCACAAAAUCCAAUACAAUCAAAACGGCUUCAAAGCAAAAACACAAAUGCAUUUAAAGCAUCGAAACUUGAACUACUUAAGCAUGAAGCGACUUAUUGAUACUUGAUCCCUAGCAUUUAUUACAACACUUUAAUUCCUAAGGCAUCAUCUGUCCUUAAAAAAUGGGGGCAGUCAAGGUCUAGUUUUUGCUCAUGGUUAAAACUAAUUUAAAAUUAUCUUUCUAGUCUAGUUGUUCUUUCAGUGCUAACAGUAUCCACCUCCCAUCGUUGCUUUCCUGAAUAACUCUCAGGAUUCUCCAAAAAGCAGCAGAAACUACUCCAGAAACUGACCUUUUCUCUAGGUGCAGAUAGGUGACUUAGGUCAUUGAUCCUGAUACUCUUGACUUGGCACGUGGUUGUGAAAUAGCUACAAGAAGAAUAUAGGUCUGGAGCGAAGUCUGAUGUUCUAGAACAAACCUUGUUUCAGGGAUAUAGUUAGAGAGCACUUGGCAUCCAAAGUUUCCUUAUCCACGGUAACAUGUGCUGUGAGAUGUCACAUUUGACUUGUCUCUUAAUGGAGUCAUGUGUUAACAACAGCACUGAUGUCAUGUUGGCAAUGUCCAGCUCACUCUGAGGAAGACUUUGUAUUUUCAACUCUGAGCCGUUUCCUUUUGUGAAACCUCCAAGCAAUUAGGUGUUGGAAGUGUGAGUUACAUAUUCUGGAAGUGUGAGUUCAAUACUUGAGCUCCUCUUUAGCGGCUCUUGUUUUCCUUUUGCUGCCAAGGUGUGACUCAUAGCCGUCUAUGAUGCUGCUCUUUCACGUCGUAGGUUUAUUCCAGGAUUCAAAUCAGUAACUUGGUGAUUACAAGGUGCUGAGUAUGUUGGAACCAUUGCAAUACACCUCAAAGGGAGGUGUCGGAUUUUGACUUUUUAAAAAAAAUUUUCAUUUUUCUCUUGAAUUUCAUAUCCAUCUAUCCACUCAUAUAUGUUUAGCCUACAGAAUUACAAACUAGUCCUGUUUCUGAAGAGGUUCUUUAGCUUGAAAUGUAAAGGACUGAAAGAUUUGUAGGUGUUGCUUUUGUUACUUCACACUGGAACUUUGAAAAUGUUUUCAUCAAAUAAAGUUUUGUUUUCUACUUUU
rnacentral:lncRNA from 1 species